rnacentral:rRNA from 1 species
UACGUAGGGUGCAAGCGUUGUCCGGAAUUAUUGGGCGUAAAGAGCUCGUAGGCGGUUUGUCGCGUCGGCUGUGAAAACUCGGGGCUCAACCCCGAGCCUGCAGUCGAUACGGGCAAACUAGAGUGUGCUAGGGGAGACUGGAAUUCCUGGUGUAGCGGUGAAAUGCGCAGAUAUCAGGAGGAACACCGGUGGCGAAGGCGGGUCUCUGGGCCGAAAUUGACGCUGAGGAGCGAAAGCGUGGGGAGCAAACGGG